rnacentral:snoRNA from 2 species
AAGACUAUACUUUCAGGAAUCAUUUCUAUAGUUAGUACUUCCCUCCUAGGACAACCUUUUCUGUAAUCCAAAGGUUUUGAACAGUUGUGCUUUCAUUUUUAUAGUUUGCAUGAGCCUU